CACGCUAAUACCGCAUACGCCCUACGGGGGAAAGCGGGGGCUCUUCGGACCUCGCGCUAUGAGAUGAGCCUGCGUUAGAUUAGCUAGUUGGUAGGGUAAAGGCCUACCAAGGCGACGAUCUAUAGCUGGUCUGAGAGGACGAUCAGCCACACUGGGACUGAGACACGGCCCAGACUCCUACGGGAGGCAGCAGUGGGGAAUAUUGGACAAUGGGCGCAAGCCUGAUCCAGCAAUACCGCGUGUGUGAAGAAGGCCUUAGGGUUGUAAAGCACUUUCAAUUGGGAGGAAAACCUGCCGGUCAAUACCCGGUAGCUUGACAUUACCUUUAGAAGAAGCACCGGCUAACUCCGUGCCAGCAGCCGCGGUAAUACGGAGGGUGCGAGCGUUAAUCGGAAUUACUGGGCGUAAAGCGUGCGUAGGCGGUUCGUUAAGUCAGAUGUGAAAGCCCUGGGCUCAACCUGGGAACUGCAUUUGAAACUGGCGGACUAGAGUCUAGUAGAGGGGAGUGGAAUUUCAGGUGUAGCGGUGAAAUGCGUAGAUAUCUGAAGGAACACCAGUGGCGAAGGCGACUCCCUGGACUAGAACUGACGCUGAGGUACGAAAGCGUGGGUAGCAAACAGGAUUAGAUACCCUGGUAGUCCACGCCGUAAACGAUGUCAACUAGCCGUUGGUCCUAUUUACAGGAUUAGUGGCGCAGCUAACGCAUUAAGUUGACCGCCUGGGGAGUACGGCCGCAAGGUUAAAACUCAAAUGAAUUGACGGGGGCCCGCACAAGCGGUGGAGCAUGUGGUUUAAUUCGAUGCAACGCGAAGAACCUUACCUACCCUUGACAUCCAGAGAAUC
rnacentral:rRNA from 1 species